ACCAACUAUCAAACGUUUGUGUUGGACCGAUACAAAAAUUCUGAUGAGGGGGAAGCGACGCGCUAACGUCAACGGUUAACGUUAGCAUGUUUUUACAACUUUAACUUACGUAAAACAAUACCUAUCUAAGAUCAUUAUUGAAGCAUGACACCUUCAAAUAACAGUAAAUGAGACGAAAUAUGCCAACUUGAGCUAGCUCGUCUGCCUCUAAAAUGAUUUUGAGAUGUGUCGUGAUGAAUCGCAUUUCCUAGCGAACUACAGUGUUGGCUAGCUAACGUUAGUAGAAAAAUCAAUAUAAUGGUAAUUUUGUGAGGUUAGCCAACUGCAUUUUUAACAGUAUACAGUAAGUGUGCAUUUCGCAUGUGUUUCUAGAACCGUAUAUUGAUAAUCUAUUCACGUUUAGGUGGUGUUCUGGCUAUCAGAGCCAGCCUACCUCUGAAAAUAACACAAGGUACUUAGGCUAACUGUAACGUUCGGCUCCUUAAGAGUACAUCUCGGGUUAGGACAGGGUCUGAAGUGCAUCUAUAACAGAAGCUUGCCAGGGUGGUGCUCCAGGUCAUCAGACUGGGCCCAGAGGAAUUGCGCGUGCCCAAUUUGACUGAAGCGUGGAGCAAGUUACCCAAAGGUUUUUUUCAUAUUUUCAUUAAGAAACUGACAAAACACACCGGUGCAAGAUCAAGUUGACUUACAAAGAGCAAGAGAGGGAAGGGAGUGCGGUGAUGUAGUGUCCACAACUAAAGAGGCAUUGUGGAAUCUGAGAAGACUCCUCCCGAAACAUGAUGGUGUACUACAUGCUAACAGAAAGGAACGAGGAAACAUUCUAGAAGAGUUCCUGAUCCUGGUAUCUGUUUAGCCCCAGCUGGUUGACCACUGUAUCAGGGGCAAUGGAGAGGCCUAUCCAGCCUCUGAAGACAAUAUUUCAUAGGCUAAGUAGUGAAAAACCAAGAGGAGAUAAUAAGAGUUUUGAGCACUUGAGACCGCUCUCUGUUUAUUCUAGAAUGAUAACUUGUGAAAAUGGUAGGGUUAGUCCUAGCGGCACUAACCAGUCAUGGAAUUCAUCCAAUCCAUUCUGCAACUUGAAAAUAGAGAUUGUGAACAACAAUGCCCCUACAAGACACAAGAGGCGAUUGGAUGACUCCUGCCUUGAUGACACGUACGAGACUACAUACAAAAAGCCCUGCACUCCUAAGGCCAUCUCCCCAGACCUGGCUUGUGUUGUAGUUUCAUGCAGCAUCCCUCCAGAUGUAGUCACUGUCUCCCCUACCACUGACCUCCAAAAAGUGCCAUCUAGUGUUGAAAAUACAGUCAAAGAUAAAGGUACAUCCGAAGCUGUGACAUGUGUGCCAAACUCAGGAGAGGCUGGAAGUAGACCGGGUGGUGCUGCAGCUCCAGGCGGCCCCGUAUCAAACGAGUCUGAGGCCUGGUCUGAGACCCUGAGCCAUGAGCCUGAGAAAGUCUCGAUGGACCUUGGUCCUGUUUUUGACUUUGACGUUGACGACAUCAUGUGCCUGAGCCCCACUGACAGCGACAGGGGGAGCGAUGAGGGCAUUGAAGCCUUUGUCGAUAGCUGUAACAGUUUUUACGACGACUGCACCCGUAACCCCAGUGACGGCGACACCCAGCGAACUAAGCCUUUCUUAGCUCACAGUUCAACACAGAACCAUGUUUCAAAGGAGGGAUAUGACGUAGGAGAGCGGGAGGAGGGGAAAGGAGAGAAGAUGGUGGGAGAAGGAGAAAGGGGAAAAGGGGGCAAUGAGGAGAUAAACAAUCAGGAGGAAGAGGAGGUUGUGAGCAUUGAGGGUUUUUUUUCCAGGUCCUACCUUGCGGCACUUAAAGCAGGAAAGGACGUGUCUCAGGCUGUGCCACCCCUGCAGCCCCGCAUCUCGUCCAGCCCUUUGUUUAUGGGGAGGGAGGUGAUGCAGAGGCUGCAGGUGGCUGUGUCAGAUGAUGGGGAACCUUCAUGUCCUCCAUGGUUCCCUGAUCCCAAUGGGGGCCAGGCUAUGGUUUGCCAGCCGCACUACUCUUUCACUUCGGAGGAUGUAGCUUAUGGGUUAUAUGGGGCAUCUCUGGUCGCAGUGGAGGGUGCAGAUGAGGGCUUGGAGGGUACGGCAGGGGACGAUUGGAGUAUCGGUGCCCCGAUACUGGAGUCCUCAUUGUGUCAUGUUGCCCCAGUGGAGUUCAAUGCGGGUUGUGAGGGAAAUGUGGUGGAGGGUGUGCUUGAUUCAGUUCAGGAGUGCCAGGUCACACUCCUGGCCGAAGAGGUAACCGUGGAGCCCAGCUACGAGAAGGUGAGGUCAGUACUGGUGGUUCCCAGCGUGCAACAGAGCAGCAGCAGCCAACCCUCAACGCCGCCUGAGCAGAAAGUGUCUGAGACCAGGUCUGUGCAGAAACCUUCUCUGGAGAAGAAUCUUGUCAAGACGACAACAAGACCUGUCCAGAAACCUUCACCUGGACAGAACAUUAUCAAGAACACAAUUGUCCAUAAACCUUCGCUUGGGCAGAAAGUGACAAAGAUAAAACCUGUCCAGGCAGCUUCAACUUCGUCUGACCAAAAAGUGGUCAAUACAAGACCUGUCCAGAAACCUUCACCUGGACAGAACAUUAUCAAGAACACAAUUGUCCAUAAACCUUCGCUUGGGCAGAAAGUGACAAAGAUAAAACCUGUCCAGGCAGCUUCAACCUGACCAAAAAGUGGUCAAUACAAGACCUGUCCAGAAACCUUCACCUGGACAGAACAUUAUCAAGAACACAAUUGUCCAUAAACCUUCGCUUGGGCAGAAAGUGACAAAGAUAAAACCUGUCCAGGCAGCUUCAACUUCGUCUGACCAAAAAGUGGUCAAUACAAGACCUGUCCAGAAAACUGCACCAAGGCCAGUGGUCUAUGACAGGGAGGAGGACUGGCAGCGUGAGAAGUGGCUCUAUGUGGACUCAGUCACCAGACACAUAAGGGAGAACAUUGGUGCAGGAGAAGGGGUGAUGACUGAGCUGCUGAACCUGAUGAACCAUGUGGCCGAUCAGAGACCAGGCACCAACGGCAGGCAGUGGCAGCACCCCUCGGAUCUCACCCGCAGAAAUUACCAAAGACGAUUUGGAAAUGACAGAACAAAUUACACUCUGGACGAAUGGCAGAACCAGAACUACAGGAACCACCAGCGCUUUGCCAAUCUCCCACAGAUCUUUGAGAGAAGUCCAGUUCUGUAAAUCCAAGCAACAAAGCAUUUUACCAGAGGAAUGUAUAGGACAGUACACUUUUUUAAAUUUGGCAAAUGACAUCACUCAGGUCAUUAGGUGUCUAAGAUUUGAGCUCUUAUAUUGUAACGGUUAAACGGUUAAAACUUGAAUUAAUCCUUUACUUCUUCUCAGCUUUUAACAAUGUCUUUCACUUAUUGUUUUUUGUUUGAAAUUAAUUAAUUUAUCCUCGCUCAAGAUUUGUAUGUUUAUUGUUAGUGUCUUGAAGCCCAGAGAUUUUUUUUUUCAAUUUGUUCGAUCUUGUUGUACUUUAAUUUAAAUUAUGUUCCUUUCAGCUUACCAUCCAGUAUAAUCAUAACAUUGAUGACAGAAAAGGAACAAAAAUAACGUAAUAGCCAAUCGUUGUGCCUGCCUGUCUCCUGUCUGCACUUGUUUCCUUUUUGUACUGUCACUCCUAGUUUGUGCUAGGCACCUUGUUUGCACAGGCUUUUUAAAAAUGUUUUAAAGAACUCCUUUUUGAAUAUUGUGCACAUUUCCCUGGCUAAACUCUUAUUUGUGUAGUUGAAUUUCUUUCCCCAUACAUGUUGCAUUCUUGCUGUUGAAGUACAAACAAAUCAUCCAACACUUUGUUAGUACUUGGUUCUGAUUAGCCCCUUGGUUCAGUUGGAACACUUUGAAGGGACAAUCAAAUCAUAACUGAUCUACACCAUUUCCAAGGUGUGGUGCCAUAUGUAUUGUUCCAGAUGCUGUUCACUUACUGCCUUUGGCCUGUCAUUUGUUUAUUAGCAUAUGCCUGAGUAUUUGAGGCCAUGUUAUGGUUGCUUGACAUUUUUGUUCCAUCUUAGAUUUCUUGUGUAACAAAAUUUAAGGGAGUUUGUCACAUGGAUUAGGUCAACUCUUAAUUCUCUACUUUAUCUAUAUUCUGUGCAGCGAAGCGAUAUGGAUUGGCCUUGUAUUGAUGCUUGUGUUGGAGAGACAUCUGUAAACAUAAUCUAGUGUGGGAAAUUGAUGAGAAACACGAUUUGUAGGGAUCUGUUGUGUGGCCUAUUUUCUUUGACAUUGUGAAUCUCGGCACAUUUCUCGCACAGGUUUCUGAUUUCACAUUAAAAGCAGUUGCCUAAAACCCUGAGUGAACUUUUACAAGGAUGAACGUCUAGCCCAGUCAGAAUACCAUAUGAGUGCACUCGAUGACUGAGGAGAUAUUGCAUGUGGCUCACUGAUGCUAAUAGAAUAGAGGUUUCAUUUAUAAGAAAAAAUAAAUGGAGCACUUUGGCAGUUUACAAUAAAGAUGAUGGAAUUGCAGUGCAGCCUACCUAUGACCAUUUUCAAUGUGAACUACCCCAUCUAAGCCUUCUUACUAAUUUACUUUAUCUUUUAGGUUCUCAUAAUCAUAUAAUACGCUAUUCAACCUCUGCUUUAAGCUUAUUGCUAACAGCUUUAAAUGGCAUAUGAUUUAAUUACCUACAUGUGGAUAUGGUAGGCCAUCAUUGUAAAUAAGAAUUUGUUCUGAACUGACUUGCCUAGUUAAAUUAAAUAAAAAAUGUGGAUAUAAACACUAAGCUCAAGUUCAU